AUCAUGCCGGUCAAUGAUCCAAGCAAUUGGUUGGGAGUAGUACACAUCAUCGGCAUGGCUAAGACGCCCAUGUUAAAUGGUAAUGACAUAUUGUCUCCAGUGUCACCCAUCAUCAUACUACCAUCAGUCAUAUUGCCGUCCCCCAUCAUCAUAUCCAUCAUGUCCAUAGGAGAUUGAGCAUUUGCCUUCUCUGAUCCACCUAUAAAUGUCAACAUAAUGCUGGCAAUUGCAAAUGUUGAAACAAAGAACACUGUAAUUCCUCUCUUUUUGUAUGAACUUUUCGUUGAGUUGAAAACAUUGAUCUGCGUCACUUAAACAUAUCGUAUGGUACUCCGACAGACCUUUUAACCCUAGUUAG
rnacentral:misc_RNA from 1 species